rnacentral:rRNA from 2 species
UCCUACGGGAGGCAGCAGUAGGGAAUCUUCCGCAAUGGACGAAAGUCUGACGGAGCAACGCCGCGUGAGCGAUGAAGGCCUUCGGGUCGUAAAGCUCUGUUGUUAGGGAAGAAUAAGUGCUAGUUGAAUAAGCUGGCACCUUGACGGUACCUAACCAGAAAGCCACGGCUAACUACGUGCCAGCAGCCGCGGUAAUACGUAGGUGGCAAGCGUUGUCCGGAAUUAUUGGGCGUAAAGCGCGCGCAGGCGGUUUCUUAAGUCUGAUGUGAAAGCCCCCGGCUCAACCGGGGAGGGUCAUUGGAAACUGGGAAACUUGAGUGCAGAAGAGGAAAGUGGAAUUCCAAGUGUAGCGGUGAAAUGCGUAGAGAUUUGGAGGAACACCAGUGGCGAAGGCGACUUUCUGGUCUGUAACUGACGCUGAGGCGCGAAAGCGUGGGGAGCAAACAGGAUUAGAUACCCUGGUAGUCCACGCUGUAAACGAUGAGUGCUAAGUGUUAGAGGGUUUCCGCCCUUUAGUGCUGAAGUUAACGCAUUAAGCACUCCGCCUGGGGAGUACGGUCGCAAGACUGAAACUCAAAGGAAUUGACGGGGGCCCGCACAAGUGGUGGAGCAUGUGGUUUAAUUCGA